AUAUAUAGUACACAUCCAGAUGUGUGUAUAUUCAUACGUUAUGUAUGUACACACAGGGACCCGAAAUUUUCUAGUGUCCCCGCAAGAAAACCCAAAUCUGUUUAAAUGGAAUUAAUUCUAGGGAGCGGCAAUGUCUGGUGGCGAGGAGAGAAUAGGAGAAAAAUAAAGAAAAAAGGAGAGAAUAAAUAAAAGAAUACAUAAAAGAAAAGAAAAAAACUUCAAAAAACCCCCUUAAAAAACAAAGCAUUUAUUAUACACAAAAAAAUCCAAUAUGUUUCUCUGGAGUCAUUUUCCCAUCUUUGUCUAUUUUCUUUCAUUUCUCAAGCAUUAAAAUUUCAAAAAAAACUAAAGAGAUCUUCCUUGUAUUGGUCCCCGUCCCACCCACUCUAUAUUCCAUCAGAAGAUUUAAUUUAAUUUUUCCAAAUAUAUAUAUUUUUCUUUAAUCAACCCUAACAUAUUUCAUGCUGGACAGAGGUGUAUAUAUACGAUAUAUAUAUAUAUAUAUAUAUAUAUAUAUAUAUAUAUAUAUUUAUGGGUGUGUGAAAUCUAUGUCUAUUUCUUUAUGGUUCUAUCGGGGGUCUAAAAAUGAAACCUCAAAAAACUCCCUGCAUUUUUCAAUUCUUGUUCUCCUUGUCUUUUUUUGUUUCCCCCCCCCACCAUCUCUUGGAUAUUAUUUUCUGUAAGAAUUUAAUAUUUUUUCUAUCUAAAAAAACCAAAAAAAAAUCCCAAAAGAUCAAAGUUAGUCACUAAUUAUUUCGUAAAGUUGAAAUAUAACAAACCAAUUGCUCAACAACAUAACCUGAUCGAUCGAUCUAUUGAUCUAUCUAUAUAUAUAAACAUACAUACGUAAACAUACAUAAUGGUGUAUAUGUAUAAAUAUAUUAUAUACACACAAUGUUCAAAAUAUUGAAAUUGUUGCAUGCUGUGGUGUAUGUCUUGUAAAAAAAAUUGCCCUUGUAAAAAUCGUCAUUCUCUUCCUUAGGUUAGAAUUUGCAUUUACCGAAAGAGAAAGGAGGAAUAAUAAGUAAAAACAAAAAAUGAAAUAUAAUAAUUAAAAAAAAAUACUAAUUCUUCUUUCCUCCAUUUUUAGUAAGAACCCCCACUCCCAGCCAAAUUCCAUUCAAGAAUGUCUCGGAAGUUCCUAUAUUUUUGAUUUAACCUCCUUCCCCUUCUGGAUUCCUCUGUAUGGAUGUCUGUCAUAAUUUCCAAACUCUUUCUCCAUAUAUUCAAUCUCGGUAAUUCCACCGUUUUCUCCAUUUAUUUUUUUCCUGUCUUCUGAAAGAAAUAUUCCUAACAGGCAGCAGAAAUAUUUUGCCUUGCUCUCACCCUCAACCUCUUCUACAUAAAAAAAACUCCCCCUCUUGUACCUUACCAUUUUGUGAGCUUAAGAUCCAAAGCUCCCUCACUCCUUUUUUUCUUUCCAAUUCUGUUAUUUCUCUGAAUUCCAUUUCUAGAAUUCUACUGCUGUUGCUUCAUUUAUAAACUGGUUUUACCGGUUCCUUUACCAAAAGUGAGCAAAAGAACCCCUUUCCCUCAAAAAAAAAAAAGAGCAAAGCCUCUAACAUGGCACCUGUCUGUCUCAAAGUAUUUUAUUUUGGCAUCUAUUCUUGCAAGCAAGCACCUCAACUCACCUGCUCACUCCAAAGUUAAUAUUUUAUUAUUAAGGUAUAUUCUUUUUUGUUUGUUUCAAAUAAUACAUUCUUUGGAAAAAAGAAUGGUAAACAAAGAAAUUGGUCUGGGAAUCAUAAUUAUUGGUUUGGAGGAAGAAAUCUGUCUCCCAUCUCUUUGAAUACACACACAUACAUAAGUGUGUUUGUGUAUGUGUGUAUGUAUAUAUAUGUAUAUGUGUGUAUUUAUAUAUGUAUAUAUAUGUAUAUGUGUGUAUUUAUAUAUAUGUAUUUAUGUGUAUGUAUAGUAAAUACAUCAAAGUACUUGCAAGUGAUCUUUCUUUCAUUUAAUAUUACAAAGAGUAAGAGGCAAGCUCUCGGCAAGUAGUGUCUUGGGUUCAAUUCCUACCAGUGGAAACCAGGUUUGCUGGUGUUUUUUUUCCGUUUUUUUUUCUUCUUUUUUUUAAAAUUUAAAACAAAUAUUUUUUACUUGCACUGCUAUUGCCUUUUUUGUGAAGGGGGCAUGAACAUCACAACACUUUACAAACUCCUUUUUUUUUGCUUUUCUGUAUUUGAGAGCCUUGCCUUGCUGAUUGGCUGUCCAUCAUUGGAUUAUAACACCUGACCCCCUUGUCCCUUUCUUGCAACUUAACCUUUGUUCAAAACUAACAAUAAUAACAAUAUUUGUUUCAUCCUCUCUCUCUCUCCCCCUCUUCCCCACCCUUCACUUUUAGCCAGGAGAUAAUUAUUCUUAUUUUGCCUUACCUUUUUUCUUUCCAUAAUUUUCAUCUUGAUUUAUUAUUCAUCAUGAAAUAAAACAUUUAAAUAUAUUCAAACACAAAACCCUAACUGACAUUUUUUUUUUUCCAAUUUUUUUUUUCCCUCUUCCCAUCAUUGUGUUUUGGCAAUCAAUGUUAUGACUGUUAAAUAAUUAUGUCCUUUUUUUUUUUUUUCUUUGCUCAGUUGGCAUUUACAAAAUAACAAAAUGGAAAAAUAUAUUUUUAUUUUUUAGGAUAUAAAAAAAAAAAAAAACUUUAAACUAUCCUAACCUAAUUCUGCUUCUUAUAAUAUUAGAAAUGUUAGAUAUGAUUAAUAAAGUGUCUCUCUCUCUCUCUCUUUCUCUUUUUCUGACAUUGUUCAUUUUGUGUUUGUCGUUUUAGCAACAUCUUGUUCUUUACUACAACAUCUCUUCUUUCUUUGGUUGUUCAACUCAAACUAUAAACCUAAAUUUAAGAAAAAAGCAAAAAAAAUAAAGCCAAAAAACCCCCCAAAAUCUCAUACCAGUCGUUUCAUAUAAACUUGAUUGCUAAUAUUUUUCCAAUCAGAAAAUCCGAGUUCCUACCAAAAGUGGCUGGUGAGUCUUCUCUACAAUGAAUGCUGUUCGGUUGGAUACUUGUAAUAUUUUCUGGUUGAAAGAUUCAUUGGUAACCAAGCUAAUAUAAAAUUGACUUUAGAGGUUUUGAUUUAGAUGCCAUUGAAGAAUAUAUUGUCCAUUUUCCCUGUGUCAAGCAGUUUCUUCUAAUUCAAUUUCUGCAAUGGAUGUCUAUAUAUAUAUUUACACACAUACAUACAAACUACAGAAAAGUGUAAUAAUGUUUGGAUUAUUAACCUUAAUUAGCAAUGGUUUACGACACAUUAUUAAUUAAUUAACGUGUCAAGCUAGCAGAAUCAUAAGCAGUAUUCUGUCCAUCUUUAUGUUCCGAGUUCAAAUGCUUCUGUGGCCGUUUUCAUCUUUUUAUCCUUUUGGGUCAAUGUAAUCAACUAAUCUGUCCCCUUAAUUUCAGGCCUAAUCCUUAUGAUAGGAUUAUUGGGACCUUAGCUUUUACUUUCAAAUUUAGUAUGAUGAGGGGGUGAUGUUUCCAACACACAUUUAAUUUGAACUUUUUCUUCAGUGGUGGUGGGCAGGUGAAUGUUUCUUGCAAUGGGGCCAAUAACAGCUCACCCAGACUUUCUCAAGCAUAUUUUUAUCUUGCAUCCUAUUUUGAGCUGUCCCCCCCCCCAAAAAAAAUGCCCUCACCAUGAGUGGCACAGUUAGUACAUAGUGUAUUUACUAAAGGAACUUUAAUUAAAACUCUGAGUUUUAUUCUCUCAAUGCUUACUUACACUCCAUUCUGUAGUAACCUCUGCCACCUCCAAAAUAGUGCCGCUUCCCACUAGAACAACACAUGCUUCGGACCUCGGAAAACUGAGCUAACUCUCAAUCAUUGUUCCUUAAAGCUAGGAAGUUGUAGAGUUUGGAUUUUCUUUCAUAUUCGGGGAUAUCUUUGAGAUAACUUUCUGUUCCUUCAAGAAAUCUAUAUUUAUACAUUCCUUCUCUCCCUGCUGCUCUUUUUCUUCUCUCUUUCUUUCACCCGCCAAUAAUCAGAUCGGAAGCUAUUAAAAGAAAGCACUCCAUUCUCUCCUUUCUGCAGUGUUUACAACAUACAUAUAUUUAUAAACUAUACAUGCAGUGUAUAUAUGCACAAACAUAGAUACUGGAAGUUCUUUUUAUUUUUCUUUGCUGCAGAGAUAAAGCUACUUGGCAAGUAAAAAGAUCUGGUUUCAAAUCUCAGUUGAAUCCAGGUUGCAGUGUAUUUUUUUAAAAACUUGCUCUGCUGUUGUCUUUGGGAAGGGGCAAUGGAUGAAUGUCCUACAACUGCAUUACAUUCCUUCUCUCGUGAACUUGUGGCUUUUACCUAAAAUAAAUAACCAACAUAUAUAUAUAUAAACAUUCCUACAUAUUCCACUGUCACAUGCAAUGUUAGAAGUUUAAAAAGAAUCCUGUUUUCCAUGCUUUCCCCCUCUUGCCUCAUAUCCAUAAAACCUAGCUCUAUGCGUGUGUGUGUGUGUUUGUGUUUUUCUGUGUGUCCCCUCAAAUCCUCCACACAUGCCAUUCACAAGAACACCCUUUGUAAUCUUAACAGCUUCUCAGAAAUGUUCCUCCCUCCCACAGACUUAUACCCCGCCCAACCUUCUAAUUCUAUGUGGUGCUAAGAAGUAAUUUGCCUUAAUCCAUCUGCGAUACAUACAUAUAUAAUAUAUACAUACAUGUGCGUGUGUAUAUAUUAUAUAUACAUAUAUAUACCCCUGCUUUGUUGCUGAAGUACAACUAAUAAUACUAACGUGGUUCACUUAUGUACUUAAUUAAUUUUCUGUAAGCCUUUGCAUGUGUUUCGAUUCCAAUAAAGUAUGCAUGUACAAGUAA